AACUUUUAAUUUAGUACCCAACAUUUCAAUGUAUUUGAUUUGAGUCAGUUAAUUUACGAUAUUUUGACUUCAAAAUUUGAAUGUCUUGUUCAUCUUUACAUAUUCAGUUAGUCACUUCAUCCAAUUUUUAUAAUUAUAAAUUUAUUAAAGUAAGCAAUUAUUUUAAAUGUUGAAGUCAAAGCGCAGUUGACUGACUUAAAUCAAACUGAUUAAAAAGUUGUGUAGUAAAAUUAAAAUUACGAGAGGUUGGGUUACCU
rnacentral:lncRNA from 1 species